rnacentral:rRNA from 1 species
GAUGAACGCUAGCUACAGGCUUAACACAUGCAAGUCGAGGGGCAUCAGGAAGGAAGCUUGCUUUCUUCGCUGGCGACCGGCGCACGGGUGAGUAACACGUAUCCAACCUGCCGAUGACUCGGGGAUAGCCUUUCGAAAGAAAGAUUAAUACCCGAUGGCAUAGUUCUUCCGCAUGGUAGAACUAUUAAAGAAUUUCGGUCAUCGAUGGGGAUGCGUUCCAUUAGCUUGUUGGUGGGGUAACGGCCCACCAAGGCAUCGAUGGAUAGGGGUUCUGAGAGGAAGGUCCCCCACAUUGGAACUGAGACACGGUCCAA